rnacentral:rRNA from 1 species
CGCGUGGGUAACCUGCCUCAUACAGGGGGAUAACAGUUAGAAAUGGCUGCUAAUACCGCAUAAGACCACAGUACUGCAUGGUACAGUGGUAAAAACUCCGGUGGUAUGAGAUGGACCCGCGUCUGAUUAGGUAGUUGGUGAGGUAACGGCCCACCAAGCCGACGAUCAGUAGCCGACCUGAGAGGGUGACCGGCCACAUUGGGACUGAGACACGGCCCAGACUCCUACGGGAGGCAGCAGUGGGGAAUAUUGCACAAUGGGCGAAAGCCUGAUGCAGCGACGCCGCGUGAAGGAUGAAGUAUUUCGGUAUGUAAACUUCUAUCAGCAGGGAAGAAAAUGACGGUACCUGACUAAGAAGCCCCGGCUAACUACGUGCCAGCAGCCGCGGUAAUACGUAGGGGGCAAGCGUUAUCCGGAUUUACUGGGUGUAAAGGGAGCGUA